rnacentral:lncRNA from 1 species
AUGGAAGGAAUAUCAUGGCCGAGAACAAGGCAUAAUUGUAUGUCCCUUGAUGUAGGGGGGCCUGUAAAGAUAAAUAAUUCCUGGAGCCAUCUCGAGGUAUAGUACUCAAGUCGGAGCGAAUCAAUUGAUAGCACGAUGAAAA